GGUGAACGCUGGCGGCAGGCCUAAUACAUGCAAGUCGAGCGAACAGACGAGCAGCUCGCUCCUCUGACGUUGGCGGGGGGCGGACGAGUGAGGAGUGGAUAACCUACCAAUUAGACUUGGAUGACACCGGGAAACCCGAGCUGAUACCGGACAAUACAUUGAACUGCACGCUCCAUAGGCGAAAGAGGCCUUUCCCGGCCCAUCUAGAUGGAGUCGGGGCGCAUUAGCUGGGUGGUAAGGUCACGGCCCACCAAGGCGACGAUGCUUAGCCGACCUGAGGGGAUGAUCGGCGACACUGGAACUGAGACACGGUCCAGACUCCUACGGGAGGCAGCAGUAGGGAAUAUGCCGCAAUGGGCGAAAGCCUGACGGAGCCAGGCCGCGUGGGUGAGGAAGGUCUUCGGAUCGUAAAGCUCUGUGCUUAGGGAAGAAAAACUGUGGAUGUAAAUCAAGUUGUCUUGACGGUACCAAAGCAGAAAGCGCCGGCUAACUCCGUG
rnacentral:rRNA from 1 species